rnacentral:rRNA from 1 species
GUCUACGGCCAUACCACCCUGAACGUGCCCGAUCUCGUCUGAUCUCGGAAGCUAAGCAGGGUCGGGCCUGGUUAGUACUUGGAUGGGAGAAUUUAUAGUGAAAUAAAUGUCUGAACA